UAAUCUCAAUCCCCUUGUUUCUUAAUUGAGGCUCGGAGGUUGGACUUGGAGUUUGCUGGCCCCCUCUUGUGGUCGGCUCCUCUUAAAUGCAUUAGCUGGACUUUGGUUCUGCGUGAAGGUGUAAUAGUUUAUUCGCCAUUAGCGCUUUCCUAACGAGUCUGCUUCUAAUCGUCUUCGGACAAGGAUUAAGUUCCUUCUUGACU
rnacentral:misc_RNA from 1 species